rnacentral:lncRNA from 1 species
AUGUAAUAGAUAAAUUGAAAACUUAUGCAAAUGGUGUUUUUAAAAUAAAACACUUCGUAAUUCAGAAGAAAAUUGUCGUUUAUUUGUUUCUAUUAACUUUUAUAAUUUUUGUUACUAUAGUAAACAUUACAGUAAGUAUUUGUCGCCUUCUCUAACAAAGAGCUUCGAUUCUUUUGUUCUAUUGAAAUUUGACACAAUUGACAUUUUGUCUAUGAUGUAAUUUUUUGUUGUUUUAUGUAAAUUUCUAUGUUGAUUAUUUUAAAAGUAAUAAAACUACAUCGUAAAAGAUAUUUAACACUAUGAAGAUCAUUUGACAACGCAUGAGGGUAUUUUGAUUAUUGAUUCUAUCCGGCAUUUAUAAGGGGGACUAUGUGCGAUUAUAUUUUUUUCCUCCGGUUGAAGUUAAUCCGUAAAUUUUCUUUUUAAAUCCAGUUUACAUACGAUUUUUGUCAAGUUGGCAAUGCAUUUAUGAAAUCAUGUAAAAUAUCUUAACUUGUCAUUCAUCCAUACAUAGAUGCUAACGCAAUAAGAAUUAAUGGUAUGGUCGCCCAAGUAUUUCGGCGUC